rnacentral:rRNA from 1 species
CCUACGGGUGGCAGCAGUGAGGAAUAUUGGUCAAUGGGCGGAAGCCUGAACCAGCCAAGUCGCGUGAGGGAAUAAGGCCCUACGGGUCGUAAACCUCUUUUGCCGGGGAGCAAGGGCCGGGACGAGUCCCGGUCCGGAGAGUACCCGGAGAACAAGCAUCGGCUAACACCGUGCCAGCAGCCGCGGUAAUACGGGGGAUGCGAGCGUUAUCCGGUUUUAUUGGGUUUAAAGGGUGCGUAGGCGGGCUGUUAAGUCAGCGGUAAAAAUUCGGGGCUCAACCCCGUCCGGCCGUUGAAACUGGGGGCCUAGAGUGGGCGAGAGGAAGGCGGAAUGCGUGGUGUAGCGGUGAAAUGCAUAGAUAGCACGCAGAACCCCGAUUGCGAAGGCAGCCUUCCGGCGCCCUACUGACGCUGAGGCACGAAAGUGCGGGGAUCGAACAGGAUUAGAUACCCCAGUAGUC